rnacentral:rRNA from 1 species
AUCGAACGCUGGCGGCAGGCUUAACACAUGCAAGUCGAGCGAGCGGCGGACGGGUGAGUAAUGUCUGGGAAACUGCCUGAUGGAGGGGGAUAACUACUGGAAACGGUAGCUAAUAUCGCAUACCAUCAGAUGUGCCCAGCUGGGAUUAGCUAGUGGGUGGGGUAAUGGCUCACCUAGGCGACGAUCCCUAGCUGGUCUGAGAGGGUGACCAGCCACACUGGACCUGAGACACGGUCCAGACUCCUACGGAAGGCAGCAGUGGGGAAUAUUGCACAAUGGGCGCAAGCCUGAUACAGCCAUGCCGCGUGUGUGAAGAAGGCCUUCGGGUUGUAAAGCACUUUCAGCGAGGAGGCGUUACUCGCAGAAGAAGCCCCGGCUAACUCCGGGCCAGCAGCCGCGGUAAUAC